rnacentral:lncRNA from 1 species
UGAAUUGAUGUGAUCAUGUCAAUCUUUAUUUAUAUAGUUUUUUUUUUUUUCAUUAGGAUGGUCAUAAGCAAUGUAGCCCCAGGGGCACGGUGGCGUGGGUUUCAGCCUCUUUGUUUGGUGGUGCUCACACUAUUACUUCUUUUUUGUUUUUUAAGUCCUCAUAAGGUAUGAAAGUAAUCGAAUAAUUUUGUUUGUCUGCUCACCUGUGCCUUGCAUAUUUCAGCUACCUGGCUUCGCACUUGCAGAUAGUUGUCAGAGGAUUUAUAAGAUUUUGUAAGAAUAUCAAUUGCUUCCUCGGUCGGUAUUACUCCAGCUAAACCUUCUUCGAUAUCCUGUUGAUAACAAAAGCCUAUAAGAUCUUUCAUUAACUUUUUUUUUUUCUUUUUGUCAGGUUUGUGUUGAAUUGGAUAAGUCACUUCACCUAAAAGCGUGCACGCAAGCAUGCAAGCAAGUAUACAAUAAAGAAAAAAAUCUUACCUCCUGGAAAUCUUUGUUUAUAGUUUUAAGAAAGUGAUCGGAUGGAUUCUGGAGGGUUGGGCAAGGGAAGCCAUUCAAAGCAAAAAACUGCAUGUAAUUGAAAGCAAACAAGCACGUUAGUUAAAUUUUUAUUUGGGAAAAUGAUGUUAGUAAUUAAGCCAAUCAUUUCUCUAAUCAUGUUUCAAAAACUAUCAAAACCUUAUGUUGGUUAAAAAAAUUGAUCCACUUUUCAUUUUACUAUGGAUCAAUCAAAAUUUCUAUGGGUAUAGUAGUUUAAGAUUAAAAAGGUGAAAGUUAUUUAUUUAUUUUUUUCUUUUUGGCAGCACCGAGGUUUUGAUGGGUUCUGAACAUUGUGGG